CUCACACCAAAAGUUGAGAGCUUUCCCAAGCCCGCUCUUAAACUUCUUCUCCCUCUUUGGCUCUAAACCUUCUUACCUAAAACCCUUAUAUCACCACCACGACACCUCCGUCGUACACUCCUUGCCGCCGACAUCUACCUCUUGGUGUCGUGUAUUCCACACCCCAAUUGUUUUCAAAGUCUUCUAUUUUACGGAACUCGUGAGUGAUCUGUAGCAGGAUCAAUCUAAUCUUUGUGUGAGGUUUUAUUUAAUCAAGUGUCAAGAUUCUAAAUGGGAAAAACAUUUAGAUUCGGAGGGAGUACUAGCCAAGUCGGAGACCUUAGGGAUUCUGAUCAAUAAACUUCUGAUGUUUCACAUACAAGAACCGUACAAAUACGUGUUUUCGACAGCUUUGGUGAAGCAAAGUAAUGGUGUCAUCAAUUCUCUGCAACUCCGUUGACAUUAAAGGGAAAAGAGGACCAACCAAGAGGAGCGAAGAAUUGUACCAUCAAGGAAUUUCCGUUAGUGAUGCAACUUAUGAAGGACAUGUGUACUUCACCCAAGGUGCAUUAAGUCUAAUACCAAGUUUCAGAUUAAUUACGAACAAUUAAUUCAGUGAGAUCAAGUGAUCGGAACAGCUAGCUGGAGCCAUGCUUCCGAUCAUUGAGUUCUAAUCUAUAUUCGGCUCACAGCUUACUCUUGACUGAACCUAUAAGGUCACACCAAUGACAUGUAACAGAUCACCGGAUUAAAUGAAUCGGAAAUUCAUUUAAUAGCUUUCGGGAAUUAGUUCGGAAAAACAUAAUAUACGAUGUGACGUUGGAUCGGAAUCGUAUAUCGUAUCGCGAAUAUUCGUAAGCUGAGCGAAACGAAUAAUCGUAUCGUACGACAGUGAUUCGUCGUGUACGAUACGAUAAAUAAUAGUCGUAAGGCGUUAGUCGCGAAUACGAGCCGCAACGGAGCUGCCGGCCCAUGGAGCCAAGCGCGCAUGUGUGCAAGGCCCAACGAGCCAGCAAGCUCCUAAGUUACACAAAUAUAACCUUAGGGUUAUAUUCCACACUCCUAAGUUAUUUUUCCUAACCCAAAAAAACCUAAUUCAGAAAUUACGUAGUUUUAGUUUUUUUUUUUUUUAGAAAAUAAAAUUAGAACUACAAGGGUAAAUAAAACAAUUAAAAAAAUAUAUAAAAGUAAGAAGAUGACACGUGGCAAGAAAAUCAUUGUGUUUUAAAAUAUUAGUAUAGAUUAGAUAAGUUCAAAUAACAUGUACAUCCGACCAUUAUUUUAAGAUAUUUUCACAGUCGUUGGUUUAAUUCAUUCCAACAUUUCCAAGUUUAGGAGAUCUCUCAUUAAUGAAUGAAUCCAAUACCAGCUAUCUACCACGAGCUACAACUCAAUGUUAAACAAAAGAAAAUAAAGCCCAUAUACUCAUUACUUGUGAGAAACUCUACCUACAUUUUGUAGGCCCAAAUCCCGCAUAUAUUUGCUGUUUUUUUUAGCAAGAUGAAAGUGAUCUCUACCUACUUUUAAAGCAUGUUUGGUUCAAUUUAUUUUACUCCCUCCGUCCCGAAAUACUCGUACCGAUUUGACCGUCACAUAGUUUAAACAAAUUUAAUUGACUUAUUAUUUAAUUAGGUAGUAGUUGAUAUUGAGUACUUUUUUUUAUAUAGUUAGUGGGAAAUGUGUCAACUUUUUGAGGGUGGUGGUGGGUGGGGUGAAUUUUAUUUUUAUUUUUUUAGAGGUUAGGAAUGCAAGUGGAACUUAACGUAAGUGAGAGAAACAAUAUAAAAUUAGAAAAAUUUGUCAUUUAUAGAAACGGUGCAAGUAUUCCGGAACAACUUUAUAAGAAAAGCGGUACAAGUAUUCCGAAACGAAGGGAGUAAUUAUCUAAACUUAUCCGACCAUACAUUAUUUGAAUUUAACCGAUUUUUUAUUAUACGGAAUACUUUACUUUGUAGUAUUUGAAUUUAUUUUCGGUAUAAUAGGUCUUAUUUGUGAGAACUUCUUUAUUUGAAAUAACUUUUUAAAAAACUCCCCACUCCACUAUAAAUUCAAAUAUGAAGUAAGUUUCUACCUUCAUAAUCAUCGAGUAUUUUAUUGAUCAAUGUAUAUGUACCAUAUUUCAAUGCCUUAAAAAUCUCUUUAACACCAAGAAUUUUGAAGAAAAUUUUCCUAAAACGUACAAGAAAAUUGGUUUUCUAUUUUAAUUUGGGUUAAAAAAAACCUAUUGACAUGUUAUUAAUUAAUUAAAAUUGACUAAUUAUUGAAUAUUGUUUACCUUAAAAAAUGUGGUCUAAA